GUUACUCUCAGUGUCUUGCUCUCAGGUACAGCGUGAAAAGAAGUUUAGAAAGCGAGUAUUUUUGCAUUGAGUAAUAAAAGUAAUUAUGUGCAUUUAAAUGUUGUGUACGGCAUUGUAAGUGAGGUACAAGCUUUACCCAUAUUUUUGUUCUGUACGUGCGUCUGCGAAGUGUUGGUAUACCGCCAUAAUGAGGGAGAUCAAUAAGUUCGGAAGAGCAACAGAAAGAAAAACAUCCCGGUUCUAGUCGGACCGGGACUGCAUUUCGCGAUCGUUUUAAAGACGAUGAGUUGGAUUGGCAUUGAUAGUCUCUGCUUCCUACAUCGGGCAGACGCUUCUUCAGACGCGAUACUCAAUAGCAGAAAUGCCGUUAUUCUUCUGUCCAGCAUACUAUUUACCGGCGUUUUGUAUAAAGUCAUGAACGAACGCUUGUCAACUUGGAUUGCCGGUGAAAUACACACACUUAUCUGACCGCUGUUGAAUCGGAAUUCGUUGCUAAAUUAUCGGAUGAAGAUGAAAGGUCGGAAAAUGGCAGUCCCUUUGGUACGGCCCACCACAAGUAUUUUUCAGACAGCUCAUGCCCUACGGUAUUUUAGCAAACGUAAAGCUGAACGACGUAUUGAACACAUAAUUAUGAACAGAGAUUGUCGCAUUAGCGUCGUGUGUACAUUUUUGUUCCAAGAAUAGAUAGGACGACAGAAACGCGUUCAAUUAUGAACCUGACAGUGAAGCCGGCGAACAAGAAUAUCAGGAAUUAUGCAACUGGUGUAUGUGCACGGCCAAAAUAAGACACCAGCUACCUGUUAAUCAACCUUGUAUGUAAAUGGGUGCCGUCGAAGUGGUCAAUUUCGGCCUCAUAACUACAGUUCAAGGAAGCUGUAGCACUUGUCAUAACAAUGAGUAGAUAGACAUUGUGGACACAGAGAAUAUUUGUUUGAGAAAUUGUUAUUAGAAAAUCUUUGGAGGGACUGCAACAAAGGCUUCAGAAGGAUAAGAAAAGAACUGUUGUCUUCAUCAGCACCAACAUACUGACACGCAUUCAACACAAUGAACUUGGAGAUCAGUUCAGAGUAAUUUUUUUGGACAAAUACACUGUUGUUAACCAGUGUUAUGAUGGCUUAACUCUACUGGGGUAACUUUCAUUGCUGUGUCUGAAUAUCAUUGGAGGGGUGGUAGUCCAUUCUACCUCAGGAGAGAAAACCAGAGAAGACAUAGGUGUUUGAUGCUGGAUAGGGAAUGAAGGUGAGACAGACGAUCUUAUCUGGGUGGGAGCAGAUGAUUUGGCACACCCUGGAGGGUCUUCACUGACAGUGCCAGUGGUUGUGGCCAGGGGCUACAAAAAUGCGGGCGAAACUUCUCUCGUAAAGGUGCUGGACAUUGGUACAGUACAUUUCUAUGGAUAUGCCAAAGCAGCUGCUAUAGCCAUUUCACACUACGCUGGAGGAUGCAAUGUUGGUAGAUAUAUUCCAUGUCCGAUACGUCAGCUGUCGUGACUCAGAGGGCAGACUGUCACUUUGGACAAGACACUUAGUCACCAAGUCUCUUAAUCUCAGUCCAGAGCUGCUCAAAAAGUCACAGUAGUGAAGAAUGAGAUUCACUUGUUACACACAGAAAUGGCCAGUGAGUGCGGGAGUGUCUGCCUGCCGGUCUAUGCCACACACACAGCUGGGUUGGAUGCUCUCUGAAAGAAGAUCGAGGGGCUGUUAUGCGCGCAGUGGCUAGGACCUCGAUGGCCGUCAGUGUGUCCUCCAGAGGGUAGGAAUCCCACCAGCUGUAUGAGGAGGUGGCCGUCGUCGGUGUGAACACCGUCCCGCAGUAGGAGCGGUAAGUCUACAUCGAGGUCGUCAUCUCCAAAGAGCAGCUCGACCAGUUCGAGGGGAGGUUUCUAUGUGGUAGGCCGUACUGCUUUGAGUGACCAGUAUGUGAGAAACCACUGUACUGGAGGUACUGAAAUGUAGCACCUGACAUUUGCUGUUGUGCCUCCCAUAUAUUAUGUAAAAUGGACUAUGGUACAGAUUGUUUUUGCUGAUAUUGUUACCAUCACCUGCAGUGAUACAUGGAGGGAAAUUGGCUGUUACUGUUAAUAAGUUAAUGUUGUUGCAGGUAUUAUCCAUUUUGAAAUUUUAUGCUUAUAUUAGGUGUCAAAAUGAGGAUUCGAAUUGUUUCUAUAAUGACAGUAAUAUUUAUCUAACAUGACUUGCUUUGUAUUGUGGUAUGUUUAUAACAAGCUUCACUCUUACGCUAAUGAGUUAGACAAUAAGCCCAGAGCAUAUUGUUUUCAUGAUUGGUAACUGGAGUUGUGAAACUACCGUAGGCUACCAGCAGCAUGCGUAGUCUGUGUGGCAGUUUUCCUAGCUUUGGUCAGGUAAGGUUGUACCCACAUUAACUGUACAUCAUGUGUGUUACAUACCUAUCGGGUGUUACCUCGUAACGGUCACUUCUUUACAUAUGCAAAUGGUGUCUUGCUGCCCCAUAAACUGGAAGCGGUUUUCCAUCUAGAAAUUGACUGAGGAUAUGUUAAUGGAUAGGUAACAUGGAACAUGUUUUUUCUAUGUGGUUAUCCUCCUGUCUGCUACAUAAGAAUAAACAGUAUCGACAAAAAAACUUACAUCAAUUUUUAAUUCAGAUUUUAUCUGAAAAUUGUUGAUUUGUAACAUAAAAUAGAGGGAUGUUGGAGUAAAACUGAAGAAAACCAUACAGAUUUAUCAUAUAACACUAGAAAACACAAUUACCUCAACAAAAAGAUGAAAAGGCUGACAUUGGCAGUGUUUAAUUCAGAUGUUAUUUGAAAAUUGUAGAUUUGUAACGUAAAAGCAGAGGGAUAC
rnacentral:lncRNA from 1 species